AGAAUAUGAUGCACUCAAAGGUUUAUCUUUCUUUCUCUUGGGUUCCCCCCAAUAAAUACAUUUGUAUUACCUCAAUACUAUUGAUUUCUUUGUGUUAAUGAUUUAUAUAUGGACUGAUACUAAUGGAUUCAUUGUCAAUAAGAUGGUCUAUUCAAGAGGAAUCUGUAUGCUCCUCUUCAAUAACAUGUCCCUUCCCUGUUUUUCUUUCUAACUAUAAUACAUCCUGCAUUAAAUUUUGUGCAUUUAGUAAAUUUAUGGUGAUGAAAAUUUCAAGG
rnacentral:misc_RNA from 1 species